rnacentral:rRNA from 1 species
AUUGAACGCUGGCGGCAGGCCUAACACAUGCAAGUCGAGCGGUAGAGAGAAGCUUGCUUCUCUUGAGAGCGGCGGACGGGUGAGUAAUGCCUAGGAAUCUGCCUGUUAGUGGGGGAUAACGCGGGGAAACUCGCGCUAAUACCGCAUACGUCCUACGGGAGAAAGCGGGGGCUCUUCGGACCUCGCGCUAACAGAUGAGCCUAGGUCGGAUUAGCUAGUUGGUGGGGUAAUGGCCCACCAAGGCGACGAUCCGUAACUGGUCUGAGAGGAUGAUCAGUCACACUGGAACUGAGACACGGUCCAGACUCCUACGGGAGGCAGCAGUGGGGAAUAUUGGACAAUGGGCGAAAGCCAGAUCCAGCCAUGCCGCGUGUGUGAAGAAGGUCUUCGGAUUGUAAAGCACUUUAAGUCGGGAGGAAGGGCUGUAGGCUAAUACCUUGCAGUUUUGACGUUACCGACAGAAUAAGCACCGGCUAACUUCGUGCCAGCCGCCGCAGUAAAAC